rnacentral:rRNA from 1 species
UACGUAGGGUGCAAGCGUUAAUCGGAAUUACUGGGCGUAAAGCGUGCGCAGGCGGUGAUGUAAGACAGUUGUGAAAUCCCCGGGCUCAACCUGGGAACUGCAUCUGUGACUGCAUCGCUGGAGUGCGGGCAGAGGGGGAUGGAAUUCCGCGUGUAGCAGUGAAAUGCGUAGAUAUGCGGAGGAACACCGAUGGCGAAGGCGGCGACCUGGUCCUUGACUGGACG